UCUCCGUUGGUGAACCAGCGGAGGGAUCAUUACAGAGUUGCAAAACUCCCAAACCACUGUAAACCUUACCUAACUUGUUGCUUCGGCGGGGGCUCUCAGCCACUGCAGCCCGCCAGAAGUCUACUAAACUAUGUUAUCAUUGGCAUCUCUGAGGUAUUAUAAAAUGAAUCAAAACUUUCAACAACGGAUCUCUUGGUUCUG
rnacentral:misc_RNA from 1 species